UGGGGAAGCAGCUCUUGUCCUCGGUGAGCAAGCUGGGGGUGUGGUGCUGCCCGUGGUGAGCAGACGGAAGUCGCUGUGGGUGGCGGUGGGUUUGAGGUGCCAGAGACUGAGUGAUGUGGCCAGGAGGUGAGCACUUGCAUCUGCAGGCCUGGUCAGCAGGAGACGGGGUACAAAAAGAUUCGGGGGAGUGUGGCUUGAUCUGGAGAUUCAUAUCUCUUGGUCACUGGUACUGGGGCAUAUGGGACCAGGAACUGGAAUAGAACAGGAGGAGAAACUGAGGCAAGGCUUGGGAAAGACAGGGCAAACUGAAAAAAAAAAACGGCAUGUGGAGGAGUGUCCAGUUGGGUGUGGAAGAGGGCGAGAGCCUGUGAGCAAGGCCUGUGGGAGAUUGAGAAAGAGGUUCUGGGAAUGUUGAGUAGUGUCUUCUGGUUGGCAUGGGGGUAGGGCUAGCUAGGCUCCCAGGGUAGGAGGCUCCAACUCAGGCCUCCAAGGUGUGAGCUUCAGUUCUGCACAGGCAAGAGCUAAGGAAGACUUGCAGGUAGGGAGAGACACAAGAAGCCAAGAGGUGGGACAGCUGCAGAAGUCCAGGCCUUAGGGCACUCAGAGCUGCGGGCACCUCUGCCCCCACCCCUAUCCCCAGCCACGUGUGUGCCCACUGCAUGACCCUCACCUCUCUGACCUCAAUCUCUCACCUGCAAAAUAGGACUGCUAAGUCCUGCCUCAUGGAACCACAGGGAGGCCGGAGGAGCUAGAGUAGAGCCUUAAUAAAUGCCAACUGCCCACAGUGCUCGGAAAGCACUCGUGGGAGGCUUUUUCUCCUGCCUUUUCUGUUCUGGCUUGGCUGAGUAAUUCCGAAAGAUGUAAAACCUCUUCAGAGCCUCAGUUGCCUGCUACCAGGGGAUGAUAAUGGAGGUGACUUCAGAUUUCGUUGAGCAAGACUGUACUUGCCCACCACUGUACCCACAAUCAGAGUCAAGCCCAAACUCCAGCUCCCAGCCCUGUUUGACCUCCCCUCUGGGUCUGCUCUUAGGGCUCUUUGGCUGUUCCCACAUCUGAUGGUCUAGUGUUGACACUGGGUGGCUCCAGUGCUUGGAACAUGUCUCUCGGGAACCCCGUGCACUCAUUCCCUCACCUGUGUCCAGGGCUUGCUCAAAUCUACCCCUCUGCCCUGCUUGACUCCUGCAAUACAUCAAACUUCCAGCAUGGGAGCCCCCUUUCCCAGAUGCAUGAUCUUUUUCUCUGUGGCCACUUUGCUUCUAACAGGCCCUGGAAGCCACCACACAUCUACAGUUUGUCAUCUCUUUGUCCCUGCUGUGUGGGCAGGAAGAUUCCCGCCUCUUCUGGUCACCUGGCAGCUAGAGAACCCAACAGUCCCAGUUAGAGCAGAGAAAGAUGGCUGAACAGAGCUGUACGAGCCUCUGACCGUGGCAUCCGGGAAGCAGAAACAGAAGACCUGUAAGUUCAAGGCCAGAAAAAAAAAAAAAAGAAUAAAGAAAGAAUAACCCAGAUCGAUAAGGACCUGGUUAUAGAAACCGUGACCACGAGACACUAUCCAGCAACGACAAGAACCACAGCAACAUGCAUCCACACGGGCCACAGGGGCGAUACCCAAGUUCCUGCAAGUUUCCUCUAUCAUUUUCUGUUAUGAAAAUAAAUUAGAAAGCCAGUCUAGGUUAGAGAGGGAGUUCCAGGCUAACCAGACCGGCAUGGGUCAAUUGUAAGUAAGCGAGUACAUUAAAUAAAUAAAAGCGAAGAACUAGAAUGUACAUCUAGACACGUUUAUAAGGAAGAGCAGACAGGGCUGUAGCUGAGUCUUGGCCGGUACUCGCGAGACCUUUAUUUCAAUCCCCAGUACCACAAAGAAGCAGGACUGAGGGACAGGCUGGGAAUCCCAGCUUCUGGAGAAAAUGAGAUGAGUGUGUGUCUGGGGGUGGGCAGGAAGUUCCAGACCUGCUGGGCAAUUCAGUGACAUUUUGUUUCAUAUUAAACUGUAAAGGGAAGCCAGGAAGAUACAACUCAGUGGUAGAGCACUUGCCUGCCUUAUGUGAGGCCCUGGGUUCAGCCUCAGUGCAAGACAGAAAGAAAAAUCAAGGAAAUAAAGUUAGGGUACAGUUCCUUCUAGAAGGAAAUGAGGGGAGGGCACCUAGGGCUUGCUUCAACCUGGGCUUCUCUCUCCUGGCUUUCUUUAACAGCUCCAUUCCCAGACCUGAUGUUCAUGUCUUCGCCCGGGUAAUUAUGUCCCAGGUGUUAACCCCACAGUUAUUUUUCGCCGCCCCUACGUAUGUUCUGUACUCUGUUUUAUGAAUGGUGUCCCAUGGUCUGCAGAUACACAGCCGGACGGGGAGACACACAUUCAGUGCCUCGCUGCUGGGUUUGUUCUUUUCUGUUUUUCAGUACCUGGGAAUCAAACUCGUGGCCUUGCGCUUGUUAGGGAAGCACUCUAAACACUGGGGUACAUCUUCAGCUGUAGUCCUUGCUACUUAUGAGAUUGAGGGUCACUCGAGCCCAGGAAUUUGGGGAUAACCAUCACAAGACACUAUCUCAAUAAAAUAAAUACGUUUUUUAUAUGUAUUUAGUGUGUGUGCAUCGUGGCCUGCGGUGAGGGCGUGCAUGCGAGCUAUGCACAUGUGCGGAGGUGAG
ensembl:lncRNA